rnacentral:rRNA from 1 species
AAGGAAUAUUGGUCAAUGGGCGAAAGCCUGAACCAGCCAUCCAGCGUGCAGGAAGAAGGCCCUAUGGGUUGUAAACUGCUUUUAUCAGGGAAGAAACCUCUGGAUUUACUCCGGAGCUGACGGUACCUGAAGAAUAAGCACCGGCUAACUCCGUGCCAGCAGCCGCGGUAAUACGGAGGGUGCGAGCGUUAUCCGGAAUUACUGGGUUUAAAGGGUGCGUAGGCGGCUUUGUAAGUCAGGAGUGAAAGUUUGCAGCUCAACUGUAAAAUUGCUUCUGAUACUGCAGAGCUGGAAUCAGGAUGAGGUCAGCGGAAUGUGGCAUGUAGCGGUGAAAUGCAUAGAUAUGCCGUAGAACACCAAUUGCGAAGGCAGCUGGCUAGACCUGUAUUGACGCUGAGGCACGAAAGCGUGGGGAGCGAAC